AGAAAUCCACCCAUACUUAGUUGAAAAUCAGGCCAAAUUGUCAAAGUGGCCCAAGUUGUAAAGUUUUAUUUUUAUUUAUUUAUUUAUUUAUAUUCAGUCCAAGAGUCCCAAAUAAAAGACCCUUGGCCGAAUUUCCAUAUUAAAAUAAUUAGGAGUUUUUUUUUAGUUUUAGUUUUAGUGUUCUAAUUAAAUUAGGAAAACAUUUGAAAGGCCUAUUUAUAUGGCUUGGCUAGCCACCCUACACUACAUUACAAUUACAUUGAAAAUUUCAGAUUUGAUUUGAGUGAAA
rnacentral:lncRNA from 1 species